GGCCAUCACUAAACCGGUUGUAUCAGAGCAACCUGCCUGAGAGAGAUCAAGCAGGGCACAGGUCACCAGGUAUGCCCCAGGGCUCCUGCCGCAGCUGAUCCAGUGCUAGGUGCUGAGGAUACAUGUCGGGGAGAAAGCAAUUGAAUAGAAAUGCAAAGCUCUUCAAAGGAGACCUAUAAAGUCAUCUUUGUUUUGUUCAUUCUUCUCAUGCUUCUGCAUUAGGGCAUUCUCCUAAACUGGGGAGAAACCAAAACGCCCAAAAGUUAAAUUUUGCAACUGUCAUCAUGCAAAAUGCCAAAUAAGAGAACAAAAGUAAGUUGGAUUCUAUAUUGUUAGGAAGGGAUGGUUAAUUUGAUUGACUCUCGGGAGCUAUUUUUCUAGCAUUAAGUAAUUCUAGGGAGCCCUUUUGUGAUCAUCUCUGAGUAAAUAAAGAAGUGAAAUUGCAAUCAAA